rnacentral:rRNA from 1 species
ACCCCUACGGGAGGCAGCAGUGAGGAAUAUUGGUCAAUGGUCGGGAGACUGAACCAGCCAAGCCGCGUGAGGGAUGAAGGUACAGAGUAUCGUAAACUUCUUUUGUCAGGGAACAAAGGCGGGUACGCGUCCCCGGAUGAGUGGACCUGAAGAAAAAGCAUCGGCUAACUCCGUGCCAGCAGCCGCGGUAAUACGGAGGAUGCGAGCGUUAUCCGGAUUUAUUGGGUUUAAAGGGUGCGCAGGCGGUCUGUUAAGUCAGCGGUCAAAGCCCGGGGCUCAACCCCGGCCCGCCGUUGUAACCGGCG